rnacentral:rRNA from 1 species
UACGUAGGGUGCGAGCGUUGCCCGGAUUUACUGGGCGUAAAGCGCACGUAGGCGGAUCGAUCAGUCAGGGGUGAAAUCCCAGAGCUCAACUCUGGAACUGCCUUUGAUACUGUCGAUCUGGAGUAUGGAAGAGGUGAGUGGAAUUCCGAGUGUAGAGGUGAAAUUCGUAGAUAUUCGGAGGAACACCAGUGGCGAAGGCGGCUCACUGGUCCAUUACUGACGCUGAGGUGCGAAAGCGUGGGGAGCAAACAGG